AUAUUAUCUGGUAGGGGUGACACCAUGAUCAGAAAGAUGGGAUUUUCAUGGUGAGGCUCAUCCACUGUAUGUAGGAUAGGCUGACUAAUGCAAUUUCCCCAUUUGUAUGAAAUUCAACUGCACGAUUGAUUGUAGUAGGGGACUGAUUUAUCACUUUUCCCUU
ensembl:snRNA LOC120094950 U1 spliceosomal RNA